AAAAAGAUAAGCUAAAUAUAAAGCUUAUGGGUUCAUACCCCAUCGAUGAAUAAAUUCUCUUUUUA
rnacentral:tRNA from 1 species